rnacentral:rRNA from 1 species
GGGUUGUGAGGUUAAGCGACUAAGCGUACACGGUGGAUGCCCUGGCAGUCAGAGGCGAUGAAGGGCGUACUAAUCUGCGAUAAGCGCCGGUAAGGUGAUAUGAACCGUUAUAACCGGCGAUACCCGAAUGGGGAAACCCAGUGUGAUUCGUCACACUAUCAUUAACUGAAUCCAUAGGUUAAUGAGGCGAACCGGGGGAACUGAAACAUCUAAGUACCCCGAGGAAAAGAAAUCAACCGAGAUUCCCCCAGUAGCGGCGAGCGAACGGGGAGGAGCCCAGAGCCUGAAUCAGCAUGUGUGUUAGUGGAAGCGUCUGGAAAGGCGCGCGAUACAGGGUGACAGCCCCGUACACAAAAGCGCAUGUGCUGUGAGCUCGAUGAGUAGGGCGGGACACGUGGUAUCCUGUCUGAAUAUGGGGGGACCAUCCUCCAAGGCUAAAUACUCCUGACUGACCGAUAGUGAACCAGUACCGUGAGGGAAAGGCGAAAAGAACCCCGGCGAGGGGAGUGAAAAAGAACCUGAAACCGUGUACGUACAAGCAGUGGGAGCACAGGUUUACCUGUGUGACUGCGUACCUUUUGUAUAAUGGGUCAGCGACUUAUAUUCUGUAGCAAGGUUAACCGAAUAGGGGAGCCGGAGGGAAACCGAGUCUUAAUUGGGCGUUAAGUUGCAGGGUAUAGACCCGAAACCCGGUGAUCUAGCCAUGGGCAGGUUGAAGGUUGGGUAACACUAACUGGAGGACCGAACCGACUAAUGUUGAAAAAUUAGCGGAUGACCUGUGGCUGGGGGUGAAAGGCCAAUCAAACCGGGAGAUAGCUGGUUCUCCCCGAAAGCUAUUUAGGUAGCGCCUCGUGAAUUCAUCUCCGGGGGUAGAGCACUGUUUCGGCUAGGGGGCCAUCCCGGCUUACCAACCCGAUGCAAACUGCGAAUACCGGAGAAUGUUAUCACGGGAGACACACGGCGGGUGCUAACGUCCGUCGUGAAGAGGGAAACAACCCAGACCGCCAGCUAAGGUCCCAAAGUCAUGGUUAAGUGGGAAACGAUGUGGGAAGGCCCAGACAGCCAGGAUGUUGGCUUAGAAGCAGCCAUCAUUUAAAGAAAGCGUAAUAGCUCACUGGUCGAGUCGGCCUGCGCGGAAGAUGUAACGGGGCUAAACCAUGCACCGAAGCUGCGGCAGCGACACUGUGUGUUGUUGGGUAGGGGAGCGUUCUGUAAGCCUGUGAAGGUGU